rnacentral:rRNA from 1 species
UACGUAGGGGGCAAGCGUUGUCCGGAUUUAUUGGGCGUAAAGAGCGUGUAGGCGGUCUGGUAGGUCCGUUGUGAAAACCCGAGGCUCAACCUCGAGACGCCGAUGGAAACCCUCAGACUAGAGUCCGGAAGAGGAGAGUGGAAUUCCUGGUGUAGCGGUGAAAUGCGCAGAUAUCAGGAAGAACACCCGUGGCUAAGGCGGCUCUCUAGUACGGUACUGACGCUGAGACGCGAAAGCGUGGGGAGCGAACAGG